UACAGAGACUGCAAGCGUUACUCGGAAUUACUGGGCGUAAAGCGUGCGUAGGUGGUUUGUUAAGUCUGUUGUGAAAGCCCCGGGCUCAACCUGGGAAUGGCAAUGGAUACUGGCAAGCUAGAGUGCGGUAGAGGGUAGUGGAAUUCCCGGUGUAGCGGUGAAAUGCGUAGAGAUCGGGAGGAACACCAGUGGCGAAGGCGGCUACCUGGACCAGCACUGACACUGAGGCACGAAAGCGUGGGGAGCGAACAGG
rnacentral:rRNA from 1 species